rnacentral:rRNA from 1 species
AUUGAACGCUGGCGGCAGGCCUAACACAUGCAAGUCGAACGAGUGGCGGACGGGUGCGUAAUGUCUGGGAAACUGCCCGAUGGAGGGGGAUAACUACUGGAAACGGUAGCUAAUACCGCAUACCAUCGGAUGUGCCCAGAUGGGAUUAGCUAGUAGGUGGGGUAACGGCGCACCUAGGCGACGAUCCCUAGCUGGUGUGCGAGGAUGACGAGCCACACGGGAACUGAGACGCGGCCCAGACUCCUACGGGAGGGAGCAGUGGUGAAUAGGGCACAAUGGGCGCAAGCCUGAGGCAGCCAUGCCGCGUGUAUGAAGAAGGCCUUCGGGGUGGAAAGUACUUUCAGCGGGGAGGCGUUACCCGCAGAAGAAGCACCGGCUAACUCCGUGCCAGCAGCCGCGGUAAUUC